rnacentral:rRNA from 1 species
ACGAACGCUGGCGGCGUGCCUAACACAUGCAAGUCGAGCGGGACAUGCGACGGAGACGAAGUACUCGUACGGAGUCAAAGAUGUAAUGUCUAGCGGCGGACGGGUGAGUAACGCGUGAGCAACCUGUCCCUUACAGGGGGAUAACACAGCGAAAGUUGUACUAAUACCGCAUAAGACCACAGGAUGACAUCGUCCAGGGGUCAAAGGAGCAAUCCGGUAAGGGGUGGGCUCGCGUCCGAUUAGAUAGUUGGUGAGGUAACGGCCCACCAAGUCGACGAUCGGUAGCCGACCUGAGAGGGUGAUCGGCCACAUUGGGACUGAGACACGGCCCAAACUCCUACGGGAGGCAGCAGUGGGGAAUAUUGGGCAAUGGGGGGAAACCCUGACCCAGCAACGCCGCGUGAGGGAAGAAGGUUUUCGGAUCGUAAACCUCUGUCCCAGGUGAAGAGGAAGAGACGGUAGCCUGGGAGGAAGCCCCGGCUAACUACGUGCCAGCCGCCGC